GUCCAGAGUAGCCUAGUGGACAUGGCAAGCAGCUGCCCGGUAAGCUGAACACUGUGGGUUCGUUUCCCAUCCCUGGACA